rnacentral:rRNA from 1 species
CUGAUCCCAUGCCGAACUCAGCAGUGAAACCGCUCAGCGCCGAUGGUAGUGUGGGGUUUCCCCAUGUGAGAGUAGGUCAUCGUCAGGC